CGAAGGGGGCUAGCGUUGUUCGGAGUUACUGGGCGUAAAGGGCGCGUAGGCGGCCCUCCAAGUCGGGCGUGAAAGCCCACGGCUCAACCGUGGAAUUGCACUCGAGACUGAAGGGCUCGAGGACGGGAGAGGAUGGUGGAAUUCCCAGUGUAGAGGUGAAAUUCGUAGAUAUUGGGAAGAACACCGGUGGCGAAGGCGGCCAUCUGGACCGUAUCUGACGCUGAGGCGCGAAAGCGUGGGGAGCAAACAGGAUUAGAUACCCUGGUAGUCCACGCCGUAAACGAUGAGUGCUAGACGUUGGGGAACCUAGUUCUUCGGUGUCGCAGCUAACGCAUUAAGCACUCCGCCUGGGGAUACGGCCGCAAGGUUA
rnacentral:rRNA from 1 species